rnacentral:rRNA from 1 species
AUUGAACGCUGGCGGCAUGCUUUACACAUGCAAGUCGAACGGUAACAGGUUAAGCUGACGAGUGGCGAACGGGAGAGUAAUGCAUCGGAACGUGCCCGGUCGUGGGGGAUAACGCAGCGAAAGCUGCGCUAAUACCGCAUACGAUCUGAGGAUGAAAGCGGGGGACCGUAAGGCCUCGCGCGAUCGGAGCGGCCGAUGUCAGAUUAGGUAGUUGGUGGGGUAAAGGCUCACCAAGCCAACGAUCUGUAGCUGGUCUGAGAGGACGACCAGCCACACUGGGACUGAGACACGGCCCAGACUCCUACGGGAGGCAGCGGUGGGGAAUUUUGGACAAUGGGCGAAAGCCUGAUCCAGCAAUGCCGCGUGCAGGAAGAAGGCCUUCGGGUUGUAAACUGCUUUUGUACGGAGCGAAAAGGUCUCCUCUAAUACAGGGGGCUCAUGACGGUACCGUAAGAAUAAGCACCGGCUAACUACGUGCCAGCCGCCGCUGUAA